CCAUUCCCAUCUCCUUAUCACUUUUCCAGCCCAGCUUUCUCAUGCUCACUGUUGGACGGAGAACUGAUAAGGGUAUGUGACUGA
rnacentral:pre_miRNA from 1 species